GACUCUCGGCAACGGAUAUCUUGGCUCACGCAUCGAUGAAGAACGUAGCAAAAUGCGAUACUUGGUGUGAAUUGCAGAAUCCCGUGAACCAUCGAGUUUUUGAACGCAAGUUGCGCCCGAAGCCUUUCGGYCGAGGGCACGUCUGCCUGGGCGUCACAC
rnacentral:rRNA from 1 species